UGCUCUGGACAUCUGCUUCGACAUCUGUC
rnacentral:piRNA from 1 species